ACGUUGAUGAAAAUCUUGUCAUUCGUGUUUCCAAAAAAAAAAAACGAAAAGGAAAAAAACGAAGCGAAAGAAACCUUCGUUAUGGGGCACAUAAAUAAAGGAGCUGCGACCAGGACCACGGACAAAAGCCAGAAGCGUUCACCAAAUUGAUAACCACCGAAAAAAGAAUACGAGACCGGGGAAGAAAUAUUCCUCCUUGGUUGCAUGUGCCACCACACAAAGGAAAGCGAGCCACAAAACCUCGUCCUUGCCGCCAUUUACAUUUGAAAGAGCCUGCGAAAGCCUGAAGCAUCACCUAAUCGAGUCUAACCAAGUCCUUGCAUAACAUUCCGGAUUUCAGAGGAUUUCAGUAAAGAAAUCCACAGCAAUCCCCACACAUCCAAAGCCCAACGAAACCCCAUAAUGCUGGCCCAUAAUCAUUAUCAUUAACCUGAUGGGGAAGACAGUUUUUUGCCGCUGGCUGCUUUGCUGGCUCGCUGGGCGAAAAAGAAGUCAUGAAACCACAGGAAUUGCUACAUGAGGCGCAAACAAAACAGUUUAAUUAAAAUUAUUAUUGUAAUUUAA